ensembl:lncRNA
CCUGUCUCUGUGUUAGUUGUCACAAGACUAACGCCGUUACAGAACCCCAACUCUUGGCAUUCUUCUCAGAAAGGGGCAUCACCUGCAGGUUCAUCCCCAAGCGAGCAGCCUGGUAGGUCAGAUUCUGGGAAAGACUUGUCAGGUCAGUGAAAACAUUCCUGAGAAAGCUUUUCCAAGAACCUUCGCUCAACUUUUAAGAAAUGUGCACAGUCCUGACAGAGGUUGAAGCUAUCCUACAUUCUAGGCCUCUGACUUUCGUGCACAAUGAAGUGGAUGAACCACAACCCCUGACACCAGCACACUUCCUGGUGGGUAAAAGACUAACCUCUUUGCCGACAAAGCCAUUUCUGUCUGACACUCAGCACCCAACGCUUAACAAGGAGGAAAUGACAAGCAGAUGGAAGUACAGGCAAAGACGUGUGACAAGCUUCUGGAACAGCUGGGGAAGAGACUACUUGCUGGAUCUAAAGUCAGCACACCACUGUGACACACCACAGCCCAACCCACUUAAAGUGGGUGACGUUGAACUCAUCAGAGAAGAUAACACACCCAGACGAACCUGGCAACUAGGGAAGAUGGAGGAACUGUUUCCAGGCCAAGAUGACCUAGUUAGGUCAUGAUCAGUUGGUACAGCCUCUCUCAGCCUAUUGUGGACAGUCUGAGCACUGAUGGAGGGAUUGUGCAUUCCUGGUGUAAAUCGGGCAGUUGUUGUUGCCAUCCGGUACCUGUCCCGCAGGUGUGAUGUUCGGAUGUACCGAUCCUGUGCAGGUCUUGUUACACGUGGUCUGCCACUGUGAGGACAACCAGCUCUCCAUUCUCGCACUGUCUCCCUGUAGCUCUGCCUUAGGCGUCUUACAGUAUGGACAUUGCAAUUUAUUGCCCUGGCCACAUCUGAAGUCCUCAUGCCUCCUUGCAGCAUGCCUAAGGCACAUUCACGCAGAUUAGCAGGGACGCUGGGCAUAUUUCUUUUGGUGUUUUUCAGAGUCAGUAGAAAGGCCUCUUUAGUGUCCUAAAUUUUCAUAACUGUGACCUUAAUUGCCUACAGUCUGUAAAUUGUUAGUGUCUUAAUGACUGUUCCACAGGUGCAUGUUCAUUAAUUGUUUAUGGUUCAUUGAACAAGCAUGGGAAACAGUGUUUAAACCCUCUACAAUGAAGAUCUGUGAAGUUAUUUGGAUUUAUCUUUGAAAGACAGGGUCCUGAAAAAGGGACGUUUGUUUUUUUGCUGAGUUUAUUUGUUUUAUUGGUUAGUAUUGGAUUACACUACUGACUACAAGUACCAGAAUGCCUUGUGACAGGAAGUAAGAAAAAACUAACGAGAAAGCACCAGUCUUGUGAUUAUCCUGGCUUUCGCUAUAAACUUUAUUUUAUUGUUUUGCAGAAUCUAAAGUGAUAAA